rfam:Brassica napus, WGS project CCCW01000000 data, contig: 24023
GUAAUAUAAGAUACGGUCUCUUAGCUUUUAACUAAAAAAGCUAAGAGACGUCUUUUAUAUCUCUUAUCUAAGAGACGUCUCUUAGCUUUUUUAGUUAAAAGUUAAGAGAUCGUAUCUUAUAUUAC